rnacentral:rRNA from 1 species
UAAUACGUAGGGGGCGAGCGUUGUCCGGAAUUACUGGGCGUAAAGGGCGCGUAGGCGGCCCGCUAAGUCCGUUGUGAAAGACCGAGGCUCAACCUCGGGGUGUCAACGGAGACUGGUGGGCUCGAGGGUCGGAGAGGAGCGGGGAAUCCCUGGUGUAGCGGUGGAAUGCGUAGAGAUCAGGGGGAACACCGAUGGCGAAGGCACCGCUCUGGCCGAAUCCUGACGCUGAGGCGCGAAAGCUGGGGGAGCGAACGGGAUUAGAUACCCCGGUAGUCCCAGCCGUAAACGAUGUCGACUAGGUGUGGGGGGAGUCACUCCCUCCGUGCCGCCGCUCACGCAUGAAGUCGACCGCCUGGGGAGUACGGCCGCAAGGUUG